GGGGCACUGGUCUAUAUAGGACGUUCCGCUGUUAACGGGAAGGAGAGGGUUGAAUCUCGUGCCCCU
rnacentral:tRNA from 1 species